rnacentral:ncRNA from 2 species
AAAGACAAAACGAAUAAAGCUCGUAUAAUAAUGGGGAUAUGGCCCAUAAGUUUCUACCGGAUGACCAAUGUAAUCAUCCGACUAUGAGUGAGAGCGCCCGCGCC